rnacentral:rRNA from 1 species
CGUGAGUGAUGAAGGUUUUCGGAUCGUAAAGCUCUGUCAAGAGGGAAGAAACCUCCAAUGGCUAAUACCUGUUGGAAUUGACGGUACCUCUAAAGGAAGCACCGGCUAACUCCGUGCCAGCAGCCGCGGUAAUACGGAGGGUGCAAGCGUUGUUCGGAAUUAUUGGGCGUAAAGCGCGUGUAGGCGGUUUGUCAAGUCUGAUGUGAAAGCCCCGGGCUCAACCUGGGAAGUGCAUUGGAAACUGGCAAACUUGAGUACGGGAGAGGGAAGUGGAAUUUCGAGUGUAGGGGUGAAAUCCGUAGAUAUUCGAAGGAACACCAGUGGCGAAGGCGGCUUCCUGGACCGAUACUGACGCUGAGACGCGAAAGCGUGGGGAGCAAACAGGAUUAGAUACCCUGGUAGUCCACGCCGUAAACGAUGGGUACUAGGUGUCGCGGGUAUUGACCCCUGCGGUGCCGAAGCUAACGCAUUAA